GAUGAACGCUGGCGGCGGGCCUAAUACAUGCAAGUCGAGCGAACAGACGAGGAGCUUUCUCUCCUUACGUUAGCGGCGGACGGGUGAGUAACACGUGGAUAACCUACCUAUAUGACUGGGAUAACUUCGUGAAACCGGAGCCAAUACCGGAUAAUAUAUUGAACCGCAUAGUUCAAUAGUUUAAGGCGGCUUUGCUGUCACUUAUAGAUGGAUCCGCGCCGCAUUAGCUAGGUGGUAAGGUAACGGCUUACCAAGGCAACGAUGCGUAGCCGACCUGAGAGGAUGAUCGGCCACACUGGAACUGAGACACGGUCCAGACUCCUACGGGAGGCAGCAGUGGGGAAUAUUGCACAAUGGGCGAAAGCCUGACGGAGCCAUGCCGCGUGAGUGAAGAAGGUCUUCGGAUUGUAAAGCUCUUUUAUUGGGGAAGAACAAAUGUAUGAGAAUCUCUGCACGUCUUGACGGUACCUAAAGAAAAAGCAACGGCUAACUCCGUG
rnacentral:rRNA from 1 species